GAUGAACGCUGGCGGCGUGCCUAAUACAUGCAAGUCGAGCGAACAGACGAGGAGCUUGCUCCUCUGACGUUAGCGGCGGACGGGUGAGUAACACGUGGAUAACCUACCUAUAAGACUGGGAUAACUUCGGGAAACCGGAGCUAAUACCGGAUAACAUGUUGAACCGCAUGGUUCAACAGUGAAAGACGGUUUUGCUGUCACUUAUAGAUGGAUCCGCGUCGCAUUAGCUAGUUGGUAAGGUAACGGCUUACCAAGGCAACGAUGCGUAGCCGACCUGAGAGGGUGAUCGGCCACACUGGAACUGAGACACGGUCCAGACUCCUACGGGAGGCAGCAGUAGGGAAUCUUCCGCAAUGGGCAAAAGCCUGACGGAGCAACGCCGCGUGAGUGAAGAAGGUCUUCGGAUCGUAAAACUCUGUUAUUAGGGAAGAACAAAUGUGUAAGUAACUAUGCACGUCUUGACGGUACCUAAUCAGAAAGCCACGGCUAACUACGUG
rnacentral:rRNA from 1 species